rnacentral:rRNA from 1 species
UACGAAGGGGGCUAGCGUUGUUCGGAAUUACUGGGCGUAAAGAGCGCGCAGGCGGUUAUUUAAGUUAGAUGUGAAAGCCCCGGGCUUAACCUGGGAACUGCAUUUAAUACUGAGUAACUAGAGUGUGAUAGGGAGAGACGGAAUGGCGAGUGGAGCAGUGAAAUGCGUUGAUAUUCGUUGGAACACCGGAGGCGAAGGCGGUCUCUUGGAUCAUCACUGACGCUGAGGCGCGAAAGCGUGGGGAGCAAACAGG